UACGUAGGGGGCUAGCGUUGUCCGGAUUUAUUGGGCGUAAAGAGCGUGUAGGCGGCCAGGUAGGUCUGCUGUGAAAACUCGAGGCUCAACCUCGAGACGUCGGCGGAAACCAUCUGGCUAGAGUCCGGAAGAGGAGAGUGGAAUUCCUGGUGUAGCGGUGAAAUGCGUAGAGAUUUGGAGGAACACCAGUGGCGAAGGCGACUUUCUGGUCUGUAACUGACACUGAGGCGCGAAAGCGUGGGGAGCGAACAGG
rnacentral:rRNA from 1 species